rnacentral:lncRNA from 1 species
ACAAGUUCCAAGAUGAUGUUCAUGCUAUUGGUCCAGGGACCACACUUUGAAAACCACUGCCCUGGAACAUAAAAGGGAAACAAAUGGAAGAACCUGGACUUAAUGGCUGAGUGGAGCAGAGCUGCCCCCAAACUGGAACUGCUGCUUUUGGACAUCAAAAGUUCCAGCCAUUCAGAAGGUGAGCAGAGGCCCUAACACUGCAAAGAACGCAUCUCCUGCUGGCGAUUUCUCCAGUCUGCUGUCCAUUUCUGAGAAUGUUCUGUAAGGGUUCCUUGGAAGAAGAUACUUUCUGUGGGACAACUGCUGAAGAAACGACAGACAUGAAGGCAUACUUGACACCAACACAGGGAUACCCAUCCGUCACCUUUGAUCUCCUCUCCCACAUGCCACUGAGAAAUAGUUUUUAAAAAUAGAAGCAAAAUGACAAACUAGACAAUUUGAGACUUAAAUAAAAAUAGCUUUAGGC